CUUCGUUCGCCGUUGACGUUGACGGUAGGAAGAUUCAUCUUUUUUGGCCGUUAACGGCACGAUCACAGGACAUGAACAAUAAGCUGUAGCGUAGCAGCAUAAAAAAUAAAAACUGACAAAGUUUGUCAAAACAAACUAAAUAAUUAUUUGUUGUUUGUAAAUACAGAAAACAUUCUCAAGUUUUAAAAUACCUCUAAUAUUUAAUAUGGUAUUGGAGUACAGUCAAUUAUAUUUAUGGUAAUGCGAAUAUAGAGAUAUCUAUUGAAAACAUUAGGGCAUAGAGCUUAUGCAAAAUUGCGAGUUCCUUUAUAGUCUAUAGUCUAUAGCAUAAAGUCCAUAAAGAUUACAAAAACGCAACGAAACAAAGAUGCACCAUGAGAUGAAAUUACCAAAAGAAACAUGGAUGUGAUCCUGAUCGUUUUAGAAAAGGAAAAAAUAAGUUUCAUGCUAGAAUUGAGGCAUCAGAAAGUAACUUACCUUCCUGCAAUCAACAGACACUUUUUUACUGAGCACCCUUGAUAUAAGGACCUUUUUACAACAUUCUUCCAAGUUUAUAGUGUCAGUCUAUAUAUUUGUGGUUUAUUAAUUCUUAUAAUUGUUUUAUAAGGGACAUUUAAGGCUACAAAGGAAAUUUAAAAAUUGAAGAAGGCAGCAGAACAUCUUCCACUGUCUCUUAUGCACCUAUUGAAAUUAUAUUUGAGGACGAACAUAUCAUCACAAUGAACAUCAGACACAUCACAAGAUGUGUACACAUUUAACUCCAGAAAAACCUAGUCUGUUAGUCAUUUUCUUUUAUGUUCAGUACUUAAAAGUGAGUUUUCAUUUCUUACAGUAUCAAUUAGGGUAUUACACUCAAAUUUAAUCACUGCUUCAUAAAAAAUGGUAGGUAGUCUUGUUUCUCAAGCAGAAAAAACUAUCUUAAAUAAUACAUUUUCUCAAUAUGUUCGUGCAUGCUUGGAGGCAUUGAAUCCUGAAGGUGCUGCUGAGGGAGCGUUCAAGUAUUACAUAACGCGAUUUUAGACCCCCCCCCCCUAUGUAACGCACUGUAAUGGGUGUUUAAAUA